AAGCAUCUAAGCACCAGUCAAGUUUGGUACCCUGCCUCUGCCUCAAAGAAAGAGGAAAAACAAAUCACCCCACAGAAGAAAUAAUGCUGAUCUACUAUGCAAGAUAAAGAGAAGAGGAGAAAAAAUAGUGCGGGGAUAUUACAGAGGCUGAACCCAGCAUGGACACCAGGUUAUACGUACACAGAAGAUGGAAUCUGGUAAUAAUCACAAAAGAUAUCACGUGAAAAGGAUAAGCCCUG